rnacentral:rRNA from 1 species
GGACCAAGGAGUCUAGCAUGUGCGCGAGUCAUUGGGACACGACUAAACCUAAAGGCGCAAUGAAAGUGAAAGUCCGCCUUGCGCGGACUUAGGGAGGAUGGGCGGUCGUUACGGCUACCGCCCCGCACUCCCGGGGCGUCUCGUUCUCAUUGCGAGAAGAGGCGCACCAAGAGCGUACACGCUGGGACCCGAAAGAUGGUGAACUAUGCCUGGUCAGGACGAAGUCAGGGGAAACCCUGAUGGAGGUCCGUAGCGAUUCUGACGUGCAAAUCGAUCGUCGGAACUGGGUAUAGGGGCGAAAGACUAAUCGAACCAUCUAGUAGCUGGUUCCCUCCGAAGUUUCCCUCAGGAUAGCUGGCGCUCGUUGCGUACGAGUUUCAUCCGGUAAAGCGAAUGAUUAGAGGCAUUGGGGUCGAAACGGCCUCAACCUAUUCUCAAACUUUAAAUGGGUGAGAUCUCCGGCUUGCUCGAACUCAUUUUUAAAAUGAAGCCGCGAGACUCGAAUCAGAGUGCCAAGUGGGCCAUUUUUGGUAAGCAGAACUGGCGCUGUGGGAUGAACCAAACGCCGAGUUAAAGCGCCUAAAUCGACGCUUAUGGGAUACCAUGAAAGGCGUUGGUAACUUAAGACAUCAGGACGGUGGCCAUGGAAGUCGGA